rnacentral:tRNA from 1 species
AUCUAAAUAGCUUAUUAGAGUAUAAUAUUGAAGAUAUUAAGGAAAUAUUUAUAUUUUUAGAUA